UCUUAGUUACGAAAGACAGCCGCCAUUUUUAUUCGAGCACUGAUUGAAAGCGUAUCGUUAUCCGUAUCCGUAUGGCGUAUUUUCCUUCCUCACAUUUUUCUUCAUAAAAAUGUAAUUUGUGUGGUAACCUAGCCUAUAAUUUCUACUUGGAAAUUCCAGCUGAUCAUGUGGCCUGAGCAGAACCUGAGCAUCUGUACAUUUUGCCAAGAUGUCGUCUCUUUUUCCUGUACCGGCUGUUUGUAAGAAUCACUUCAGAACAAAUCAGUCUGGGAAAGUCUGAGCUUCGUCGUUGCUGCCAAUGUACACAUGGACUGCUGUGUGUUUGGUCAAAUGAAGAAAUAUGAACAACUGAAGUUUAUCGUGUUUGUUCGCGUUGUUGCUGUCCGCUGUGGUACGUUGUUUCAGCCUCUGCUGGUGAUAGAUCUUUCUGCAUCAAAUUCAAUUAGCCGUUCCUUGGUGCUGGACUGCUGGUGUCGUGUUACCGAAAUUGUAUCAUUAUUUUGUUAAAUUGUCAUCGUGAUUGCAGUUUACCGUUAAGAAGUUAAGAAGCAACAAAAACAAAUAUGGGAUGUUUAUGUCAACAAAUAAUAAACAUGUUUCCGGGAUUGGGAAAGGAAAGUGGAGGAUGUUGGAGAGGUGAGGGAGGAUAUUUCAAGUUUGGAUAAAAAAUCUGUUAAUCUAUAACCCUACAAAUGUUGCCCUACCAAUUAAUCUCCAAACCCCACAAACAUAUACCUUCCAAUCCUUCAAACCCCGAAAACAUACACCAUUAACCCUUAAAUUUAUACCCUUAAGGCCUUAACCCUAUAAACCAAUGUUAAACCUUAACCAUGUAAUAUCUGUAAUUAAUAAAAAUAAAUAUAUUAUAUGAA
rnacentral:lncRNA from 1 species